GAAGUCGUGCGCGUCCUAGUCGAAAAAUGUGAAUGACCCAAGCUGUACAAGCUGUUAUUCCAGUGUAAAGGCCUGUGGUUAAGGCCUGUGCGUAACAGUGUUUAGAUGAAGACUGGAAAAGGUCUCCCCUGUUGGAACACGGAGGGGGCAAGGAGCUACAGCUAGCACUGCCAAUACUAUGAAAGCAGACAUGAUCAUUAUUGCUGUUCUCGGUCUAUAAAUUAUAUAGUUCUCCUUGGAAGAA